CCUGUGGAAGGAUCAUUU
rnacentral:rRNA from 1 species